rnacentral:rRNA from 1 species
UACGUAGGGGGCUAGCGUUGUCCGGAAUCACUGGGCGUAAAGGGUUCGCAGGCGGAAAUGCAAGUCAGAUGUAAAAGGCAGUAGCUUAACUACUGUAAGCAUUUGAAACUGCAUAUCUUGAGAAGAGUAGAGGUAAGUGGAAUUUUUAGUGUAGCGGUGAAAUGCGUAGAUAUUAAAAAGAAUACCGGUGGCGAAAGCGACUUUCCAGCCUUUUACUGACGCUGAGGUACGAAAGCGUGGGUAGCAAACAGG